UACAGAGGGGCAAGCGUUGUUCGGAAUUACUGGGCGUAAAGGGCGCGUAGGCGGCCUGCUAAGUCGAACGUGAAAUCCCUGGGCUCACCCGGAAACUGCUUUGCGAACUGGCAGACUAGAGGAAGGUAGAGGUAAGUGGAAGUUCCCGGUGUAGCGGUGACAUGCAUUGAUACCGGGAGGAACACCCAUGGCGAAGGCAGCUUACUGGACCUUAUCUGACGCUGAGGCGCGAAAGCGUGGGUAGCAAACG
rnacentral:rRNA from 1 species